rnacentral:piRNA from 1 species
GCCUUACAAGGAGCAGUUUGAGCCUA